rnacentral:sRNA from 1 species
GCCAGGUGCAGUGGCGCACGCCUGUAAUCCCAGCAGCUCAGGAGGCUGAAGCAGGAGGAUCAUGGGUUCAAAGCCAGCCUCAGCAACAGCAAGAUGCUAAGCAACUCAGUGAGACCCUGUCUCUA